rnacentral:lncRNA from 1 species
CCGCGAUGAAAUUUCAACCUGCCCAACACGAUUACUGGUCCACCUAGAAAUGCCGUGGAGCGAUUUAAGAGCCUCGGAAAUUUCCUUUAAGGUCAGGAGAGAAGCUGGUAACAGAUGGGGCGAAGGAGGAAAAGUUCUUUUUGCGGCACCCUCACGCCUUCCCAGCCCUUUCGCGGUUUACUCGCUCCCCGGAAAGCAGUCUCGGGUGAGAUCACCACGGAGCGGCUUAGCGCGGCGCACAAGUCUCGCGAGAGAAGCGGCGGCUGGGCCCUGCAGGCGGAGGAAGUGGAAAAAGUCGCGGGAGGGUAGGGGACCGCGGAACUUCUGGUUGCUAUGACGACGGCAAAGCCCUGGAUUCCUGUCUCCUGCGGAGAGCAGAGGCUGCAAACGGCAUUCAAGCAGCCCUGAGGAGAGGUCCACAUGGUGAGCCACUGAGGGCCUUGCCAAGAGCCAGCACCAACGGUCCAGGUUUGGAGUGUACCACCUUGGAAGUGAAUCUUCCAGUCCAGUCAAGCCUUCAGAUGACUUCAGAACCGUCCAUGUAAGCCACUCUUGGAUUCCUGACCCACAGAAACUGUUGGAGUAAGUGAUGUUUCUGAAGCACCAAUGAAAAUGAAGUCCUGAAGUCCUGUGCUCAAUAUGAAAUGUUGGAAGUUAGAAGAAAAAAACAAAACUUGGAUCCAAUCUCAAGGCACUUUUUGUUUAAUGGGAAGAAGUGGAUUAUUUUAAAAGCUACAAAUAAAGUUACAUAAAAGUAGCAAA